rnacentral:miRNA from 1 species
CUGGGCGGAUGGGAAGGGCUGG